GACAAACGCUGGCGGCGUGCGUAACACAUGCAAGUCGGACGAGGGGUGUCUCUUCGGGGGCGCUUCGAGUGGCGGACGGGUGAGUAACACGUGGAUGACCUACCCUGAGAUGGGGGAUACCGCGCAGAAAUGCGCGCUAAGACCGCAUAGGCUGGACUGGGGCGACCUGGUCUAGCAAAGCCCGUGAGGGCGUCUUGGGAGGGGUCCGCGGCCGAUUAGCUAGUUGGUGGGGUAAAGGCCUACCAAGGCGACGAUCGGUAGCUGGUCUGAGAGGAUG
rnacentral:rRNA from 1 species